rnacentral:rRNA from 1 species
GCAAGUCGAGCGCAGUCCUUCGGGACCGAGCGGCGGACGGGUGAGUAACGCGUGGGAAUAUGCCCUUCUCUAAGGAAUAGCCUCUGGAAACGGAGAGUAAUACCUUAUACGCCCUUCGGGGGAAAGAUUUAUCGGAAUUGGAUUAGCCCGCGUUAGAUUAGAUAGUUGGUGGGGUAAUGGCCUACCAAGUCUACGAUCUAUAGCUGGUUUGAGAGGAUGAUC